GCGCGUGUAGCUCAGUGGUUAGAGCGUCACAUUGACAUUGUGAAGGCCGGUGGUUCGAUCCCACCCUCGCGCA
rnacentral:tRNA from 2 species